UACGAAGGGGCGAGCGUUGUUCGGAAUUACUGGGCGUAAAGGGCGCGUAGGCGGCCGAGCAAGUUAGAUGUGAAAGUCCUGGGCUUAACCUGGGGACUGCAUUUGAUACUGCUUGGCUUGAAUUCGGGAGAGGAUAGCGGAAUUCCCAGUGUAGAGGUGAAAUUCGUAGAUAUUGGGAAGAACACCGGUGGCGAAGGCGGCUAUCUGGACCGACAGUUGACGCUGAGGCGCGAAAGCGUGGGGAGCAAACAGGAUUAAGAUACCCGUAG
rnacentral:rRNA from 1 species